GAUGAACGCUAGCUACAGGCUUAACACAUGCAAGUCGAGGGGCAGCAUGAACUUAGCUUGCUAAGUUUGAUGGCGACCGGCGCACGGGUGAGUAACACGUAUCCAACCUGCCGAUGACUCGGGGAUAGCCUUUCGAAAGAAAGAUUAAUACCCGAUGGCAUAGUUCUUCCGCAUGGUAGAACUAUUAAAGAAUUUCGGUCAUCGAUGGGGAUGCGUUCCAUUAGGUUGUUGGCGGGGUAACGGCCCACCAAGCCUUCGAUGGAUAGGGGUUCUGAGAGGAAGGUCCCCCACAUUGGAACUGAGACACGGUCCAAACUCCUACGGGAGGCAGCAGUGAGGAAUAUUGGUCAAUGGGCGAGAGCCUGAACCAGCCAAGUAGCGUGAAGGAUGAAGGUCCUACGGAUUGUAAAACUUCUUUUAUACGGGAAUAAAGUAUCCUACGUGUAGGAUUUUGUAUGUACCGUAUGAAUAAGCAUCGGCUAACUCCGUG
rnacentral:rRNA from 1 species